GGUCAAGUGACUAAGUGCAUGUGGUGGAUGCCUUGGCGAUUACAGGCGAUGAAGGACGUUGUAGCCUGCGAAAAGCUGCGGGGAGCUGGCAAACAAGCUUUGAUCCGCAGAUAUCCGAAUGGGGAAACCCACUCCGCAAGGAGUAUCCCUGACUGAAUACAUAGGUCAGUGGAAGCGAACCCGGCGAACUGAAACAUCUAAGUAGCCGGAGGAACAGAAAUCAACCGAGAUUCCCUAAGUAGUGGCGAGCGAACAGGGAACAGCCUGCAAGAGUUAACGUUUUGGUUAGUGGAACAGCCUGGAAAGGCUGGCCGUAGUGGGUGAUAGCCCCGUACGCGAAAACCAGGACGCGAGACUAAGCUUGCGACAAGUAGGGCGGGACACGUGAAAUCAGACCCGAAACCAGAUGAUCUACCCAUGGCCAGGAUGAAGGUGCGGUAACACGCACUGGAGGUCCGAACCCACUAAUGUUGAAAAAUUAGGGGAUGAGCUGUGGGUAGGGGUGAAAGGCUAAACAAAUCUGGAAAUAGCUGGUUCUCCCCGAAAGCUAUUUAGGUAGCGCCUCAUGUAUCACUCGCGGGGGUAGAGCACUGUAAUGGUUGGAGGGGUCAUUGCGAUCUACCCGCCAUAGCAAACUCCGAAUACCGUGAAGUGCGAGCAUGGGAGACAGACGGUGGGUGCUAACGUUCAUCGUCAAGAGGGAAACAACCCAGACCGCCAGCUAAGGUCCCCAAGCCAUGGUUAAGUGGAAAACGAGGUGGGAAGGCAUAGACAGUCAGGAAGUUGGCUUAGAAGCAGCCAUCCUUCAAAGAAAGCGUAAUAGCUCACUGAUCGAGUCGUCCUGCGCGGAAGAUGUAACGGGGCUCAAACCAUGCACCGAAGCUGCGGAUAUCCGUAAGGAUAUGGUAGGGGAGCGUUCUGUAGGUCUGCGAAGGUGUGGGGUAACCCUUGCUGGAGAUAUCAGAAGUGCGAAUGCUGACAUGAGUAGCGAUAAAGCGUGUGAAAAGCACGCUCGCCGAAAGCCCAAGGUUUCCUGCGCAACGUUCAUCGGCGCAGGGUGAGUCGGCCCCUAAGGCGAGGCCGAAAGGCGUAGUCGAUGGGAAACGGGUCAAUAUUCCCGUACCGAUCACAGAUGCGAUGGGGGGACGGAGAAGGUUAGGCAAGCCGGGUGUUGGAUGUCCCGGUUUAAGCGUGUAGGCCUGCUGCAUAGGAAAAUCCGUGCGGCUUAGCUGAGGCGUGAUGACGAGGAACUUCGGUUCUGAAGUUGCUGAUACCCUGCUUCCAGGAAAAGCCUCUAAGCUUCAGUCUGUGACGACCGUACCGCAAACCGACACAGGUGGGCAGGAUGAAAAUUCUAAGGCGCUUGAGAGAACUCAGGAGAAGGAACUCGGCAAAUUGAUACCGUAACUUCGGGAGAAGGUAUGCCUCGGUAGCGUGUAGUCCCUCGCGGGCGAAGCGCGAUGAGGCCGCAGAGAAUCGGUGGCUGCAACUGUUUAAUAAAAACACAGCACUCUGCAAAGGCGAAAGCCGACGUAUAGGGUGUGACGCCUGCCCGGUGCCGGAAGGUUAAGUGAUGGGGUGCAAGCUCUUGAUCGAAGCCCCGGUAAACGGCGGCCGUAACUAUAACGGUCCUAAGGUAGCGAAAUUCCUUGUCGGGUAAGUUCCGACCUGCACGAAUGGCGUAAUGAUGGCCACACUGUCUCCUCCUGAGACUCAGCGAAGUUGAAAUGUUUGUGAAGAUGCAAUCUACCCGCGGCUAGACGGAAAGACCCCAUGAACCUUUACUGUAGCUUUGCAUUGGACUUUGACGGGACUUGUGUAGGAUAGGUGGGAGGCUGUGAGGCGUGGUCGCCAGAUCGCGCGGAGCCAACCUUGAAAUACCACCCUGGUGUCGUUGAGGUUCUAACCUUGGUCCGUGAAUCCGGAUCGGGGACCGUGCAUGGCAGGCAGUUUGACUGGGGCGGUCUCCUCCCAAAGAGUAACGGAGGAGUACGAAGGUCUUCUAAGCACGGUCGGACAUCGUGCUCAUAGUGCAAUGGCAAAAGAAGGCUUGACUGCGAGACCCACAAGUCGAGCAGGUGCGAAAGCAGGUCAUAGUGAUCCGGUGGUUCUGUAUGGAAGGGCCAUCGCUCAACGGAUAAAAGGUACUCUGGGGAUAACAGGCUGAUUCCGCCCAAGAGUUCAUAUCGACGGCGGAGUUUGGCACCUCGAUGUCGGCUCAUCACAUCCUGGGGCUGUAGCCGGUCCCAAGGGUAUGGCUGUUCGCCAUUUAAAGUGGUACGUGAGCUGGGUUUAAAACGUCGUGAGACAGUUUGGUCCCUAUUCGCCGUGGGCGUUGGAUAUUUGAGGGGGCCUGCUCCUAGUACGAGAGGACCGGAGUGGACGGAUCUCUGGGUACCGGUUGUCACGCCAGUGGCAUCGCCGGGUAGCUAAAUCCGGAAGAGAUAAACGCUGAAAGCAUCUAAGCGUGAAACUCGCCUCAAGAUGAGAUAUCCCGGGGGUUCAACCCCCCUGAAGGGUCGUCCAAGACCAGGACGUUGAUAGGUCAGGUGUGGAAGCGCAGCGAUGCGUUAAGCUAACUGAUACUAAUUGCCCGUGCGGCUUGACCCU
rnacentral:rRNA from 1 species